CCUGCCCAAGAGAUCGGGAUAACACCUGGAAACAGAUGCUAAUACCGGAUAACAACAGAUGAUGCCUAUCAACUGUUUAAAAGAUGGUUCUGCUAUCACUCUUGGAUGGACCUGCGGUGCAUUAGCUAGUUGGUAGGGUAACGGCCUACCAAGGCGAUGAUGCAUAGCCGAGUUGAGAGACUGAUCGGCCACAUUGGGACUGAGACACGGCCCAAACUCCUACGGGAGGCAGCAGC
rnacentral:rRNA from 1 species